UUAANCACUACGAUCAUUUGAUUAAAACUUAAAGAGCAUGGCGGUCAUAAGAAAAUUUAGGGGAACUUACCAAGUAAUUGAUAACCCACAAGGUCCUCUUCUUAACCUUAAAGUUUGUAUACCGCCGUCUAGGCGUCUUCGAAGAAAAUGCCAAAAUAAUCUCCUAUUAGAAAGACAGGUCAGGGUGCAGCUAAUGGUUAAGUUUUAGGCGAGUUACAUUGAUAUUUAAUUUUUCGAGAGAAAUUCAAAAAUUUUUCAAGAAGUGGACUUAAAAGUAAUGUUUACAUAAAAAUACAACUUGAAUUAACUUAACGCUUAUGGUGC
rnacentral:rRNA from 1 species